GACGAACGCUGGCGGCGUGCUUAACACAUGCAAGUCGAACGAAGUGGCGAACGGGUGAGUAAUACGUGAGUAACCUGCUCUCCUAUGUGGGAUACGCCUUGGAAACGGGGCUUAAUACCGAAUAACGGGGGAUGUGCUCGCGGCCUAUCAGCUUGGUGGUGGGGUGAUGGCCUAACAAGGCGGUGACGGGUAGCCGGCCUGAGGGGGUGACCUGCCAAAGUGGGAACGAGAUACGGCCCAGACUGCGGCGGGAGUGAGGAGUGGGGGAUAUUGCACACAUGGCGGAAGCCUGAUGCAGCGGUGUCGCGGGGGGGAUGAAGGCUUUCGGGUUGUAAACCUCUUUCGCGAUCGAACGGUUAGGUGGAGAAGAAGCGCCGGCUAACUACGUGCCAGCAGCCGCGGUAAUAC
rnacentral:rRNA from 1 species